rnacentral:lncRNA from 1 species
AGAGUUCUAAAGAAAUAGAAGCUUGAAGUAUCAUCUCUCAAGUAUAUAGACACUACUUCAUGGUGUGGUAAUAUAUGCAUAUAGAAGCUAGUAAACACCUCCAGGAGAUGCAAAAGGAAUUAGAACUGCCACAAGGUGCAAGCAAAACCUUGAGGUAAUCAAUCUGCAUCCCAUUUUGGAUGAGAAUAUUUGCAACUUUGAAGGUUAUUUUAAGGACAGCAGCAGAAGAAUUAUGGCAGCUCUUCACGGAAAAAAAAAUGGCAACAAUAAAAUCAGCAACUCCUGCCAAAUAAAUGGGCAUAAAAAAGAAAUCAUAGACUGCUGGCAAUGGUGGGGAAAAAGUUAUAAAAAUUGUCUCUGCACCAUCUUCCUUUUGUCCUCUAAAAUAUUCACAUUAGCAAAAGUAUAUAACAGCUGAUGAAGAAAUACUGAUAAUUUGUCUUUUUCUGUUUUUCCUCUUCUAAUCCUUCACCCAUCUGAGCUAAAGUCUAGACCUAAGGAGGCUACUAAUUCAGGGAUCGAGUAAUCUGCCAAGCAAGAGUUUAUUCAAGCACAGUUUGAAAUAAAGGUUUCAAAUGCAUAGCCUGUCGAUACUUUGGAAGGAUUCUCAUCAUAACGAGAUAUGGGAGGACACCUGAGACGGCAGGCCAGAAGUCACUCAGUAGGAGAAACAUCCGUUAGAAGUAAUAAUGUGGGAUUGCUGAAGUAAAGACUAUAGGAAGAAAAAAGUGUCUGUGUGUAGGAAACGGAAAGGGAGAGAAAAAUACACUGAGAUGGUAAAGUAAGGAAGUGGAAGAUCAGCAGAAUGUGCAGAUGCCAAGCCAUCCAAGAAAAUCAUCUCUUGUGAUUGUUGCGAAGUCAACUAGCUAAUGUGACUCACUGCUAGGCUGUUGGAUCUGAGACUUAUGUGGGAUAAUUUAGAAACUUGCUAGUGUCUUAAGAUCAAUUACUCACCAAUGAGAGUGGCAUUGAACUGUGAAUGUUCCUCCUAGAUUUUCCAUGAAGACUAAUGGUUUUGUCUUGUCUUGAAUUUGUUUUAAUUACAAUUUGUAUACAUCCUGUUCCACCCUGAAAUUUUUAUUUUCCAAAUGGUUUUUCAUUUAAAGAGACUAAAUAAAGGUUCUGACUGAGUUGUACUUGUGGGAACUCCAAAAUCUUUUUAUAGGAAGCUAUUUUCAUCAAAUAGUGUUGAGAAUCAAGUUUCCAGUUGGAGAAAAUAACAGAGACAUGCAAAUUCAGGAUGUAGCUGUACAGCAAUGUUAGUGAAGAGAGAAAAUUUUGAGUCAUUUAGACAUUAACCAUUAAGCAUCUGGAUUUUUU